rnacentral:rRNA from 1 species
GACGAACGCUGGCGGCGUGCCUAAUACAUGCAAGUAGAACGCUGAAGGAGGAGCUUGCUUCUCUGGAUGAGUUGCGAACGGGUGAGUAACGCGUAGGUAACCUGCCUGGUAGCGGGGGAUAACUAUUGGAAACGAUAGCUAAUACCGCAUAAUAUUGACUAUUGCAUGAUAGUCAGUUGAAAGGUGCAACUGCACCACUACCAGAUGGACCUGCGUUGUAUUAGCUAGUUGGUGGGGUAACGGCUCACCAAGGCGACGAUCAGUAGCGGGUCUGAGAGGAUGAUCCGCCACACUGGGACUGAGACACGGCCCAGACUCCUACGGGGGGCAGCAGUGGGGAAUUUUGGACAAUGGGCGCAAGCCUGAUCCAGCCAUGCCGCGUGUCUGAAGAAGGCCUUCGGGUUGUAAAGGACUUUUGUCAGGGAAGAAAAGGGCGGGGUUAAUACCCCUGUCUGAUGACGGUACCUGAAGAAUAAGCACCGGCUAACUACGUGCCAGCAGCCGCGGUAAUACGUAGGGUGCGAGCGUUAAUCGGAAUUACUGGGCGUAAAGCGGGCGCAGACGGUUACUUAAGCAGGAUGUGAAAUCCCCGGGCUCAACCUGGGAACUGCGUUCUGAACUGGGUGACUAGAGUGUGUCAGAGGGAGGUAGAAUUCCACGUGUAGCAGUGAAAUGCGUAGAGAUGUGGAGGAAUACCGAUGGCGAAGGCAGCCUCCUGGGAUAACACUGACGUUCAUGCCCGAAAGCGUGGGUAGCAAACAGGAUUAGAUACCCUGGUAGUCCACGCCCUAAACGAUGUCGAUUAGCUGUUGGGCAGCUUGACUGCUUAGUAGCGAAGCUAACGCGUGAAAUCGACCGCCUGGGGAGUACGGUCGCAAGAUUAAAACUCAAAGGAACUGACGGGGACCCGCACAAGCGGUGGAUGAUGUGGAUUAAUUCGAUGCAACGCGAAGAACCUUACCUGGUCUUGACAUGUACGGAACCCUCCAGAGACGGAGGGGUGCCUUCGGAAGCCGUAACACAGGUGCUGCAUGGCUGUCGUCAGCUCGUGUCGUGAGAUGUUGGGUUAAGUCCCGCAACGAGCGCAACCCUUGUCAUUAGUUGCCAUCAUUAAGUUGGGCACUCUAAUGAGACUGCCGGUGACAAGCCGGAGGAAGGUGGGGAUGACGCCAAGUCCUCAUGGCCCUUAUAACCAGGGCUUCACACGUCAUACAAUGGUCGGUACAGAGGGUAGCCAAGCCGCGAGGUGGAGCCAAUCUCACAAAACCGAUCGUAGUCCGGAUUGCACUCUGCAACUCGAGUGCAUGAAGUCGGAAUCGCUAGUAAUCGCAGGUCAGCAUACUGCGGUGAAUACGUUCCCGGGUCU